rnacentral:rRNA from 1 species
AUUGAACGCUGGCGGCAUGCCUUACACAUGCAAGUCGAACGGCAGCACGGGAGCAAUCCUGGUGGCGAGUGGCGAACGGGUGAGUAAUGUAUCGGAACGUGCCCAGUCGUGGGGGAUAACGCAGCGAAAGCUGUGCUAAUACCGCAUACGAUCUAUGGAUGAAAGCGGGGGAUCGCAAGACCUCGCGCGAUGGGAGUGGCCGAUAACAGAUUAGCUAGUUGGUGGGGUAAAAGCUUACCAAGGCGACGAUCUGUAGCUGGUCUGAGAGGACGACCAGCCACACUGGAACUGAGACACGGUCCAGACUCCUACGGGAGGCAGCAGUGGGGAAUUUCGGACAAUGGGCGCAAGCCUGAUCCAGCAAUGCCGCGUGCAGGAUGAAGGCCUUCGGGUUGUAAACUGCUUUUGUACGGAGCGAAAAGGCUCUCUCUAAUACAGGGGGCUCAUGACGGUACCGUAAGAAUAAGCACCGGCUAACUACGUGCCAGCAGCCGCCGUAAGAC